rnacentral:rRNA from 1 species
UACUCUUGACAUCCAGAGAACUUAGCAGAGAUGCUUUGGUGCCUUCGGGAACUCUGAGACAGGUGCUGCAUGGCUGUCGUCAGCUCGUGUUGUGAAAUGUUGGGUUAAGUCCCGCAACGAGCGCAACCCUUAUCCUUUGUUGCCAGCGGUUAGGCCGGGAACUCAAAGGAGACUGCCAGUGAUAAACUGGAGGAAGGUGGGGAUGACGUCAAGUCAUCAUGGCCCUUACGAGUAGGGCUACACACGUGCUACAAUGGCAUAUACAAAGAGAAGCGACCUCGCGAGAGCAAGCGGACCUCAUAAAGUAUGUCGUAGUCCGGAUUGGAGUCUGCAACUCGACUCCAUGAAGUCGGAAUCGCUAGUAAUCGUGGAUCAGAAUGCCACGGUGAAUACGUUCCCGGGCCUU